CCCCCUUCCCCGGUCGGCUGCCCCCUGCGGGGUCCAGGGUCAGGGAUGGUGGAGGGGCCCCGAGCUGCUGCAGCCAAGCUCACAUUCCUCUCACUUCCUGCCAUUGUCCUGGGUUCCUGUGGCUGCGACUCCGCUCUCGCCCCGACCGCCCCAGGGCUCAGGAGAGCGAUGACUCAUUUCCUUUCUUCCCAGUGACGUAAUCCCGAGCCCAGUUGAGCCGGUCCAGCCUGCGACCGGCCCCUUCCCCGCCCGCUUAGAUGCCGGGCGCCGCACGGCGCUUUUCGGCCAGCAGGGGGCGCCCGCGCCCGCAGAGCGUCCCUCGGCAGCCAGGACCCACCCUGAUGAGCCUGGACCGGGAAACUGGGACCUGCGGCGGGUGGGGCUGUGCGUUUACCAAGGCGUCGCAGCCCAUCCUGGGAAGCCAGGGACUGGAAGCAAGCACUGUCGGCCCCCCAGGCGGGUGGUUUUCCCACAGUUGUUAUUCAGUCGCUCAGUCCUGUCCGACUCUUUGCGACCUCAUGGUCUGCAGCACGCCAGGCUUACGUGUCCUUCACCAUCUCCCUGGAGCUUGCUCAAACUCACGUACGUUGAGUCGGUGAUGCCAUCCAAUUAUCUCGUCCUCUGUCAUCCCCUUCUGCCUUCUCCUUCUUUCCCACAGACCCACAGGUGCUCAUUUUACCCUCUUCGUUCCCCACCCCAACCCCAUGGUGUUUCCCGCGCAAAGUUUGCAGAUAGUAAUAGUUCCGAGAUUCUGAUCAUUUGCGGGCCCUGAAACACCGCCACCCCUGGAAGCAGCAGGAACUGAGGGCGGCUGGGGCUUCACCUGGGAAGCAUGUUGAUCAGUGGUUUUAUGACAGGGUGGUGGCCUCGUAUCUCCUAUGGAUAUGGAACGUUUGUUGUUGCUGUUUUUAAAGCACGCAUGCUCAGUCCUGUCUGACUCUUUGUGAUCCCCUGGACUGUAGCCCGCCAGGCUCCUCUGUCUGUGGAAUUUUCCAGGCAAGAAUACUGGAGUGGGUUGCCAUUUCCUACUCCAGGGGAUGUUCCUCGCCUGGGGAUCUUCCUGACCCACGGAUCAAGCUUGAGUCUCUUGCGUCUCCUGCACUAGCAGGUAGAUUCUUCACCACUAGGGAAAGUCAGCAUUUUUAAAGAAGCUGGUUGAGUUUUGGGAAGUGUACCUCCCAAGGUGAAGCACCUGUGAGACGCCUGCUGGGCAUUGCCAGACAGUCUGCAGCUGCUGCUGGGGACGGAGCCAUUGAAAGCCCAUUCCUGCUGUGUGUGGCCCUAUUUCUAUCCGUGGACUGGUGGAGGCUAGUAGGGCUUGCACUAACACAGCUAGCGGGGAGUGAGCUUGCUGUCCCUGGAAGUGUUCAAGCGGGCACUGGACUACCAUCCUAGGGGGGGGCAUAAAUACGGGUUUACCUCAGGAUGGGGGCUUUCCAGGUGGCUCAGUGGUAAAGAAUCUACCUGCCAAUGCAGGAGACAUGAGUUCGAUCCCUGAGUGGGGAAGAUCCUUUGGCGGAGGAAAUGGCAACCUGCUCCAGUACUCUUACCCAGGAAAGCCCACGGACAGAGGAGCCUGGCGGGCUACAGUGCAUGGGGUCGCCAAGAGUAGGACGCGACUGAGCACACAGCGGACUGGGCGCAUGCACACUUCAGGAUGCGAGUUCCGGCUAAAUGUACCUCAAGGCUGCUGCUCUGAGGCACAAACAGCGAAGCUAAGUGCAUCCCUGAGACCCCCAUUCCUGGGUCCGCCACCAUGAUGUCUUGAGCGCAGAGGCUCAGGGGAAUGGAGUUGCUCCCAAGCGUUCUGGGGACAUGCUCUUGGCUGGUCUGCAUGUCCUCCUGAGAGGAAGCUCUGACCUAACCCCACCAUCCCAUGUGGUGGCUGAGCUGCCCCCUCAUGAGGCAGUGACUUGUAGUGGAGGAGUCAAUGAGAUCUGAAUUCACAUCCCAUAUCUACCACUUCCUCAGCAAAUCCUGUUGCUGCUCUGAACCUCAAGUUCUCCAGCUGUAAAAGGAGAAUGAAGGUAUUUAUUUAGAAAUGUUGCAAGAUGAUGUGUGCCUGGUGGUGCACCGUAAGAGCUUGAAGAGCAUCCCUUCUCUCUGAUUUACUUUAGUUCAGGGGCCAGGCUGUGCCCUCCUGGGGAGAGACAACCACAUUCUUGAAAAGGAUGUUGAAUAUUGAAAGGUCGAAUAGGUGCCUUUCACUUUUUCCUUCUGCAUCGGAAAGCUCUUUAACGGUGAAUGUCACUAGAACACAACUGUCCUUGGGCAUCUCCCUUGACUUCUCCAAUCCCAGUUUAUUCCCUUUUAAUAAGAAGACGGUGGGAAAGGGAUUCUCAAACACCUGCCGUAGGUCCUACAGACAUUCUUUGAUUUUGUAAACUCUCCAAACUAGCUGAGUCUGGAAAGACUCCAUCCAGGCAGCCUUCAUCCCACCUGGAUUUCUAACAUGCCAGGAGUGGUAGGAGGAUGUGGGUUUUGGCAUCUCACAAAACUCAGAAUCCUAGCUUCCCUAUUCUCUUGCUUUGUGACAUUGGGCAAGUCUCUGAGUCACAGUUUGCUAACCUCAGAAUGAAGACAAUAACGGCUGCUUUGUUGGGUUGCUGGGGAGUUAAGUGGGAAUGCCUAUGUCAGGAGCUCACACUUAUAGUGGGUACUUAAUAAAUGGUAAUUAAUAUUUACAUAGAGUGCUUAGAGUGCCGCCUGGCACACAGUUAAGUGCUGUAUAAAUAUUUACUAAACAGUUAGAAAUGUAGAUAGAUUAGAACAGACAUAUGUAAAGAGGCAGGUACAUAAAUAGAUAUAGAAAUAGCAGACAGCAGAAGCUGACACAAUAUUGUGAAGCAAUUAUUCUCCAAUUGAAAAAAAAAAGAGAAAUAGCCAUUAGAUCAAACUUUUCCCUUCGACACCUCCCAGUCUUCUGAAAACUUGUCUUCCAACCUCCUCCCCUCCCAGUUCUGACCCCAGCUUCCUCUGGCUACUCCAGUGAAAUUCAAGAUUUGGAUACUAUAAAGAACAGUUCUUAUUCAUAAAGCAGUUGAAGAUACUGAAAGAGAGGUCCUUCUGGCUCAAACCACUCAUCCACUUGUCAUCAUAGGAGACUCCUCUUUUAAGACAUUGAUCACAUAGACUCUUAUUUAUGUUCUCCCAACAGCCCCAGAAGAGGUGGUAUGGAUAAAGAUUAGUCACCGGAUAUUCCCAAAAGGAACCGGAGGGACAUGAAAAGUAAAGAGAUUUCCCUGUCCAGGCCCCAACCAGUCGGCCUUGAGCCAUCGGGUCAGUCAUAAUAAUCACACUAUUUAAUGGGUGGCCCACACAGGUUAUUUAGUGCCGAUAAUCCCAUUAAGGUAUGAAAUUAAAAGAUGCUUGCUCCUUGGAAGGAAAGCUAUGACAAAGCUAGACAGCGUAUUAAGAAGCAAAGACAUCACUUUGCCGACAAAGGUCCAUUUAAUCACAGCUGUGGUUUUUUCCAGUAGUCAUGUAUGGAUGUGAGAUUUGGACCGUAAAGAAGGCUGAGCACUGAAGAACUGAUGCUUUUAAACUGUGGUGAUAGAGAAGGCUCUUGAGAAUUGCUUGGACGUCAAGGAGAUCAAAUCAGUCAAUCCUAAAGGAAAUCAACCCUGAAUAUUCAUUGGAAGGACUGAUGCUGAAGCUGAAGCUCCAAUAUUUUGGCCACCUGAUGCGAAGAACUGACUCAUUGGAAAAGACCCUGAUGCUGGGAAAGACUGAAGGCAAAAGGAGAAGGUGUGGCAGAGGAUGAAAUAUUUAGAUAGCAUCACCACUCAGUGGAGAUGAAUUUGACCAGACUCCGGGAGAUAGAGAAGGACAGGGAAGCCUCAUGUGCUGCAGUCCAUCGGGUCGCAAGGAGUUGGACAUGACUUAAUGAUUGAACUCACACAUACACACACCAUUAAAUCCCCAUUUUACAGCUGAGGAAACUGAGGUCAGAUGGGCAAAGUGACUUGAGAUCAUGUAGCCAGUCACUGCCAAGUGAGGAUUCCAGACCUAGGUCUAAGGACUCCAAAGCCAUUGCCGCUGGACUUGAAGUCCUGACACUCUGCUGGGGGAUGGAGGAGAAAGGCCUGGAGCUUCUGGGUGGAGCUCAAAUCAGAUACCAGGAUAAGAAUAUGAGCAAGGCCCACUUGGGCCCUUGUGUUCACCUUCCCCAAAUCUGAAUUCUGCCUGUGCUCUGCCUCUGAGCCCUACGAGGCUUGAUGCUCUAUGUCAGAGCAGCAGAACCACUUUCAGCUCCGUAAAGGGAUUUGUUACCGCCUUUGAUGUUACAUAGCUAAUUGCAUAAACAGUCUCCAUGAAGCUGCCACCUCUUGACCCUUGCUCGAGGUUAAGUCUGCAGGGCAGUCAUUUGGGAAGGGAAGACAGAUGUAAAAUGAGGGAGGGUGAGGAUAAGCUGGAACCCUAGAGGAUGGACUGAGACCCACGUUAGUUUUUCUUGCCUCUGAUCUUGGUGGUGGAGGUUUCCUGCAGGAAAAGCUGACACUUUUUAUGGAAGUGCUAAGCAGACACCAUCGAGUUGGUGAUGACUUAGCGACUGAACACACAAACACACCUUUAGCCCCUGAGUCCCAGAAGCUGCAGGAGGAUCCUGGGAUGGCUGGACAGUGGCAGGCUGGGCAGCUGUUUUGCUCAUCAGAGUCAGCCAACAAAUAGGGGAGAACUUGUGUAAGUUACAAAAGUGCCUGCCUUAGACUUCUGAGCAUUCAAAAAAAGUUUUUUUGUAUUAGUUAUCUGUUGUGGUUGUGUGUGUGUGUUUUCUCAGUUGUAUCUGACUCUUUGCAACCCCAUGCACAGCCCACCAGGGUCCUCUGUCCAUGGAAUUUUUCAAGCAAGAAUACUGGAGCGGCUUGCCAUUUUCUCCUCCAGGGAAUCUUCCUGACCCAGGAGUCAAACCCUUUUCUCUCGCAUCUCCUGCACUGGCAAGCAAAU
ensembl:lincRNA